rnacentral:rRNA from 1 species
AGAGUUUGAUCCUGGCUCAGGACGAACGCUGGCGGCGUGCCUAAUACAUGCAAGUCAAACGCACGAAGUUGAAGAGCUUGCUCUUUAACCAAGUGAGUGGCGGACGGGUGAGUAACACGUGGGUAACCUGCCCAUUAGAGGGGGAUAACAUUCGGAAACGGAUGCUAAUACCGCAUAAUUUCAGGAAUCGCAUGAUUCGUGAAGGAAAGGUGGCUUCGGCUACCGCUAAUGGAUGGACCCGCGGCGUAUUAGCUAGUUGGUGAGGUAAUGGCUCACCAAGGCAAUGAUACGUAGCCGACCUGAGAGGGUGAUCGGCCACACUGGGACUGAGACACGGCCCAGACUCCUACGGGAGGCAGCAGUAGGGAAUCUUCCGCAAUGGACGAAAGUCUGACGGAGCAACGCCGCGUGAGUGAAGAAGGUUUUCGGAUCGUAAAACUCUGUUGUUAAAGAAGAACAAGGAUGAGAGUAACUGCUCAUCCCCUGACGGUAUUUAACCAGAAAGCCACGGCUAACUACGUGCCAGCAGCCGCGGUAAUACGUAGGUGGCAAGCGUUGUCCGGAUUUAUUGGGCGUAAAGCGAGCGCAGGCGGUUCUUUAAGUCUGACGUGAAAGCCCCCGGCUCAACCGGGGAGGGUCAUUGGAAACUGGAGAACUUGAGUGCAGAAGAGGAGAGUGGAAUUCCACGUGUAGCGGUGAAAUGCGUAGAUAUGUGGAGGAACACCAGUGGCGAAGGCGACUCUCUGGUC